AACGAACGCUGGCGGCAUGCCUAACACAUGCAAGUCGAACGAUUGCCUUCGGGUGAUAGUGGCGCACGGGUGCGUAACGCGUGGGAAUCUGCCCUUAGGUUCGGAAUAACAGCUGGAAACGGCUGCUAAUACCGGAUGAUAUCGCGAGAUCAAAGAUUUAUCGCCUGAGGAUGAGCCCGCGUUGGAUUAGGGAGUUGGUGGGGUAAAGGCCUACCAAGCCGACGAUCCAUAGCUGGUCUGAGAGGAUGAUCAGCCACACUGGGACUGAGACACGGCCCAGACUCCUACGGGAGGCAGCAGUGGGGAAUAUUGGACGAUGGGCGCAAGCCUGAUCCAGCAAUGCCGCGUGAGUGAUGAAGGCCCUAGGGUUGUAAAGCUCUUUUACCCGGGAAGAUAAUGACGGUACCGGGAGAAUAAGCCCCGGCUAACUCCGUG
rnacentral:rRNA from 1 species